rnacentral:rRNA from 1 species
CAGCACCUCAAGUGGUCAGGAUGAUUAUUGGGCCUAAAGCAUCCGUAGCCGGCGCUGUAAGUUUUCGGUUAAAUCUGUACGCUCAACGUACAGGCUGCCGGGAAUACUGCAGCGCUAGGGAGUGGGAGAGGUAGACGGUACUCGGUAGGAAGGGGUAAAAUCCUUUGAUCUAUUGAUGACCACCUGUGGCGAAGGCGGUCUACCAGAACACGUCCGACGGUGAGGGACGAAGCCCUGGGGCGCAAACCGGAUUAGAUACCCGAGUAGUCC